AGCUGAAAGUCUGAAAUUAUAGUUCAGGUAAUGGUUGCACUACAGGAUGGUGUCGUACAUUACGCUGGUUUUCCUUGCAUAGAUCACGGGUCUCCAUAAGUUGUCUUUCUAACUUCAAUACUUUUUUCUUCAAAAAAUCUAGCUCCUGAAAAAUGUUUGUAAUAUCAGGAUGAAUGAUCUUCUGCUCUUCUUGCCUUAUGUCGUGUUCCAAUGAUGCCAUGCUGGUGAGGAAUUGAUCCACGUUCUAUGUAUACAAUAUUUCGAAUUUCCAUGCAACAGCCAAUGUGAUUAUCCAAGGUUGUCUUUCUUCAAGUUCUCUGUUAGAAUGCCGUAUUUGUAUUGAGCAGUCUCUUUUAUAGCCGAGCAAAGCAUCGAGCCGAGUCGAGCAAAGCGUCGAGCCGAACAAAGCGUCGAGCCAAACAAAGCGUCGAGUCAAGCAAAACGUCGAGCAGAGCGUCGAGAGCAUUUUUUCAAACAAAAAUAAAUUUUCUGGAGCCACAUAGCAGAUCACGUAAUUCGGUCAUUGUUUUUUUCUCGAUAUAUUUGCCAUAUACCUUCGUUGUUGGUCGUAUGGACUUAUUGCAUAUCAGACAACGCCUCGUCCGCGUUCAAUGCCGAACUCAACAGUGUUUUCCUAAACUCGUUUACACUACUCCGUACAUCUGUUUUCAACUUUUUUCGAGCAGAGCAAAGCGUCGAGCAGAGCAAUGCGUCGAGCAGAGCAAAACGUCGAGCAGAGCAAUACAUCGAGCAGAGCAAUACAUCGAGCAGAGCAAAGCGUCGAGCAAAGCAAUACA